CUCGACCUGAGCUCAGACA
rnacentral:rRNA from 1 species